AAAUCCAUCUGCAAGCAUCUUGAAGAAAAUGCAGUGAUUAAUGGAAGCCAGCAUGGAUUUAUCAAAAAUCCUGUCAGACUAAUUUAAUCUCAUUUUUUGACUGGGUAACCUUCCAAUUGGACAAAGAGAACACUGUGGACCUAAUCUAUCUAUACUUUAGCAAAGCUUUCAACAUAGUGCCACACGACAUUCUGAUAAGCAACUUAGCAAAAACUGGACUAGAUGGAAAAACCAUUAGGUGGAUCCAAAAAUGACUGCUAAAUGGGACACAAAGAGUUCUCAUCAAUGGCACCUUCUCAAUUUGGAUGGAGUGGGGUCAUGAUAACCCUCUAUAAGUACCUCAAAGGCUGUCACAAAGAGGA